GGCGCUAUGGCAGAAUGGUAAAUGCACCGGUCUUGAAAACCGGAGUCCUUUGGACGCGUAGGUUCGAUUCCUACUGGCGCCGC
rnacentral:tRNA from 1 species